rnacentral:rRNA from 1 species
GUGGAUUAGAUACCCUGGUAGUCCACGCUGUAAACGAUGAGAACUAGGUGUCGUGGGUGUUGACCCCUGCGGUGCCGCAGCUAACGCAUUAAGUUCUCCGCCUGGGAAGUACGGCCGCAAGGCUAAAACUCAAAGGAAUUGACGGGGGCCCGCACAAGCGGUGGAGCAUGUGGUUUAAUUCGACGCAACGCGCAGAACCUUACCCAGACUUGACAUCUAUCAAAGUUGGCCCAAAAGCCGACGUGCCCGCAAGGGAAUGGUAAGACAGGUGCUGCACGGUUGUCGACAGCU